rnacentral:rRNA from 1 species
AUUGAACGCUGGCGGCAGGCCUAACACAUGCAAGUCGAGCGGAUGAAGGGAGCUUGCUCCUGGAUUCAGCGGCGGACGGGUGAGUAAUGCCUAGGAAUCUGCCUGGUAGUGGGGGAUAACGUCCGGAAACGGGCGCUAAUACCGCAUACGUCCUGAGGGAGAAAGUGGGGGAUCUUCGGACCUCACGCUAUCAGAUGAGCCUAGGUCGGAUUAGCUAGUUGGUGGGGUAAAGGCCUAUCAAGGCGACGAUCCGUAACUGGUCUGAGAGGAUGAUCAGUCACACUGGAACUGAGACACGGUCCAGACUCCUACGGGAGGCAGCAGUGGGGAAUAUCGGACAAUGGGCGAAAGCCUGAUCCAGCCAUGCCGCGUGUGUGAAGAAGGUCUUCGGAUUGUAAAGCACUUUAAGUUGGGAGGAAGGGCAGUAAGUUAAUACCUUGCUGUUUUGACGUUACCAACAGAAUAAGCACCGGCUAACUUCGUG